UAAGGUUAGGUCGCACUUUGGGCGUGGGUCAAGGUAGGGAUAGAUUGACCUCAGGAUGACCAUCCUACAAGUAACACAGAAAUUUAUUAAUUCAUCAUAGAGAAGAGUGUCUUUGCAAAUAACUAAGCAAAAAUAAUCGGCGAGGAUCUUAUCGACGACGAAUGAAGAGAAAUUUAAUUUGAAUUAUUAAUUUGUUGCUAUUGCGCGCUAUAUUUAUCUACGAAUAAACGGAGAACUCUCGAUGAUGUCUCGGUUAUGUAUUUAAGAAGGAUUUAAGGAUUUAUCACAAAAGGAGAAAAACUGCAUUCUACGAACAUACAACAGCUUUUAUUUCUAGUUAGAUGUAAUUA